UAGCUGGUUGUCCAGAAACAGAGYUACCGUUCAAUUUAAUUUACCUAAAAACUACUCAAUUCUAAUGUAAAUUUAAAUUAUAGUCUAAAAAGGUACAGCUUUUUAGAUACAGGUUACAACCUUCAUUAGAGAGUAAGAACAAGAUAAACCCAUAGUUGGCUUAAAAGCAGCCAUCAAUUAAGAAAGCGUUCAAGCUCAACGACACAUCUAUCUUAAUCCCAACAAUCAACCCAAACUAACUCCUAAUCUCAUACUGGACUAUUCUAUCAACACAUAGAAGCAAUAAUGUUAAUAUGAGUAACAAGAAUUAUUUCUCCUUGCAUAAGCUUAUAUCAGAACGAAUACUCACUGAUAGUUAACAACAAGAUAGGGAUAAUCCAAAAACUAAUCAUCUAUUUAAACCAUUGUUAACCCAACACAGGCAUGCAUCUAUAAGGAAAGAUUAAAAGAAGUAAAAGGAACUCGGCAAACACAAACCCCGCCUGUUUACCAAAAACAUCACCUCUAGCAUUUCCAGUAUUAGAGGCACUGCCUGCCCAGUGACAUCUGUUUAAACGGCCGCGGUAUCCUAACCGUGCAAAGGUAGCAUAAUCACUUGUUCCCUAAAUAGGGACUUGUAUGAAUGGCCACACGAGGGUUUUACUGUCUCUUACUUCCAAUCAGUGAAAUUGACCUUCCCGUGAAGAGGCGGGAAUGACUAAAUAAGACGAGAAGACCCUAUGGAGCUUUAAUUAACUGAUUCACAAAAAACAACACACAAACCUAACCUUCAGGGACAACAAAACUUUUGAUUGAAUCAGCAAUUUCGGUUGGGGUGACCUCGGAGAACAAAACAACCUCCGAGUGAUUUAAAUCCAGACUAACCAGUCAAAAUAUAUAAUCACUUAUUGAUCCAAACCAUUGAUCAACGGAACAAGUUACCCUAGGGAUAACAGCGCAAUCCUAUUCCAGAGUCCAUAUCGACAAUUAGGGUUUACGACCUCGAUGUUGGAUCAAGACAUCCUAAUGGUGCAACCGCUAUUAAGGGUUCGUUUGUUCAUGAUUAAAGUCUUACGUGAUCUGA
rnacentral:rRNA from 1 species